AACCCGUGUUGUGGACACUUCCAGUAAAAGGUCUUUGAAACGCUCCCAAGUUUCAAAUAAGGAUUCAAGCUCUAUCUCGAACAAACGAAGAUAUUUCAUUGCGAAAGCU